UGGGGAAUUUUGGACAAUGGGCGAAAGCCUGAUCCAGCAAUGCCGCGUGUGUGAAGAGGGCCUUCGGGUUGUAAAGCACUUUUGUCCGGAAAGAAAUCCUUGGCUCUAAUACAGUCGGGGGAUGACGGUACCGGAAGAAUAAGCACCGGCUAACUACGUGCCAGCAGCCGCGGUAAUACGUAGGGUGCAAGCGUUAAUCGGAAUUACUGGGCGUAAAGCGUGCGCAGGCGGUUUGCUAAGACCGAUGUGAAAUCCCCGGGCUCAACCUGGGAACUGCAUUGGUGACUGGCAGGCUAGAGUAUGGCAGAGGGGGGUAGAAUUCCACGUGUAGCAGUGAAAUGCGUAGAGAUGUGGAGGAAUACCGAUGGCGAAGGCAGCCCCCUGGGCCAAUACUGACGCUCAUGCACGAAAGCGUGGGGAGCAAACAGGAUUAGAUACCCUGGUAGUCCACGCCCUAAACGAUGUCAACUAGUUGUUGGGGAUUCAUUUCCUUAGUAACGUAGCUAACGCGUGAAGUUGACCGCCUGGGGAGUACGGUCGCAAGAUUAAAACUCAAAGGAAUUGACGGGGUCAUAGCUG
rnacentral:rRNA from 1 species